GGCUUGUUGGUCUAGGGUAUGAUUCUCGCUUAGGGUGCGAGAGGUCCCGGUUUCAAAUCCCAGACAAGCCC
rnacentral:tRNA from 1 species